UCAGAGGAACGCUGGCGGCGUGCCUAACACAUGCAAGUCGGACGAGAAAGGCCGGGGAAACUUGGCCGAGUAAAGUGGCGCACGGGUGAGUAACGCGUGAGUGACCUAUCCUGGAGUCGGGGAUAACCUUGCGAAAGCGGGGCUAAUACCCGAUAAUACUCAAGCUGAGGUAAUCGGCUUGGGGAAAGCUGGCUUUUAAAUAAGCUAGUGCUCUAGGGUGGGCUCGCGUCCUAUCAGCUAGUUGGUAGGGUAAAGGCCUACCAAGGCUAAGACGGGUAGCUGGUCUGAGAGGAUGGCCAGCCACACUGGAACUGAGACACGGUCCAGACUCCUACGGGAGGCAGCAGUGAGGGUUAUUGCGCAAUGGCCGAAAGGCUGACGCAGCGACGCCGCGUGGGUGAGGAAGGCCUUCGGGUCGUAAAGCCCUGUCGGUGGGGAAGAAGGUCCCUAAGGUGAAUAAUCUUAGGGGGGGUGACGGUACCCACGGAGGAAGCACCGGCUAACUCCGUGCCAGCAGCCGCGGUAAUACGGAGGGUGCGAGCGUUACUCGGAAUCACUGGGCGUAAAGGGCGCGUAGGCGGUCUAGCAAGUCUGGUGU
rnacentral:rRNA from 1 species